UGCAAGUCGUACGCACGCGCUUCGGCGCGUGAGUGGCGCACGGCUGAGUAACACGUGGGAACCCGCCCUCCGGUGGGGGAUAACGCGACGAAAGUCGCGCUAAUCCCGCAUACGUCCGCAAGGGGAAAGCGCUUCGGCGCGCCGGAGGAGGGGCCUGCGGCCCAUCAGGUGGUUGGUGGGGUAACGGCCUACCAAGCCGAUGACGGGUAGCUGGUCUGGGAGGAUGACCAGCCAGACUGGGACUGAGACACGGCCCAGACUCCUACGGGAGGCAGCAGCAAGGAAUUUUCGGCAAUGGGCGCAAGCCUGACCGAGCAACGCCGCGUGCGGGAUGACGGCCUUCGGGUUGUAAACCGCUUUUCGGGGGGACGACUACGACGGUACCCCCGGAAGAAGCCCCGGCUAACUCUGUGCCAGCAGCCGCGGUAAGACAGAGGGGGCGAGCGUUGUCCGGGGUUACUGGGCGUAAAGCGCGCGCAGGCGGUGGUCUCAGUGUCGUGUGAAAGCCCCCGGCUCAACCGGGGGAGGUCAUGGCAAACUAGACGACUGGAGCGGCGGAGAGGCCCCUCGAAUUGCCGGUGUAGCGGUGAAAUGCGUAGAGAUCGGCAGGAAGACCAAGGGGGAAGCCAGGGGGCUGGCCGCUGGCUGACGCUGAGGCGCGACAGCGUGGGGAGCAAACCGGAUUA
rnacentral:rRNA from 1 species